UACGUAGGGGGGCAAGCGUUGUCCGGAUUUAUUGGGCGUAAAGAGCGUGUAGGCGGCUUGGCAAGUCCGCUGUGAAAACUUGAGGCUUAACCUCGAGACGUCGGUGGAAACUGCCUGGCUAGAGUCCGGAAGAGGAGAGUGGAAUUCCUGGUGUAGCGGUGAAAUGCGCAGAUAUCAGGAAGAACACCCGUGGCUAAGGCGGCUCUCUAGUACGGUACUGACGCUGAGACGCGAAAGCGUGGGGAGCGAACAGG
rnacentral:rRNA from 1 species